rnacentral:rRNA from 1 species
GACGAACGCUGGCGGCGUGCCUAAUACAUGCAAGUAGAACGCUGAAGAGAGGAGCUUGCUCUUCUUGGAUGAGUUGCGAACGGGUGAGUAACGCGUAGGUAACCUGCCUUGUAGCGGGGGAUAACUAUGGGAAACGAUAGCUAAUACCGCAUAACAAUGGAUGACACAUGUCAUUUAUUUGAAAGGGGCAAUUGCUCCACUACAAGAUGGACCUGCGUUGUAUUAGCUAGUAGGUGAGGUAAUGGCUCACCUAGGCGACGAUACAUAGCCGACCUGAGAGGGUGGUCGGCCACACUGGGACUGGGACACGGCCCAGACUCCUACGGGAGGCAGCAGUAGGGAAUCUUCGGCAAUGGGGCCAACCCUGACCGAGCAACGCCGCGGGAGGGAAGAAGGGUUUCGGAUCGGAAAGCUCUGUUUUAAGUCAAGAACGGGUGUGAGAGUGGAAAGUUCACACUGUGACGGUAGCUUAUCAGAAAGGGACGGCUAACUACGUG